rnacentral:rRNA from 2 species
ACGGGAGGCAGCAGUGAGGAAUAUUGGUCAAUGGGCGGAAGCCUGAACCAGCCAUGCCGCGUGCAGGAAUAAGGUCCUAUGGAUUGUAAACUGCUUUUGAGUGGGAGCAAUAAGGCGUACGUGUACGCCGAUGAGAGUACCAUUCGAAUAAGCAUCGGCUAACUCCGUGCCAGCAGCCGCGGUAAUACGGAGGAUGCAAGCGUUAUCCGGAUUUAUUGGGUUUAAAGGGUGCGUAGGCUGUUUGUCAAGUCAGGGGUGAAAUGCCGGUGCUUAACAUCGGAACUGCCUUUGAUACUGACAGGCUUGAAUACUGUUGCCGUGGGAGGAAUGAGUAGUGUAGCGGUGAAAUGCAUAGAUAUUACUCAGAACACCGAUUGCGAAGGCAUCUCACGAAGCAGUAAUUGACGCUGAGGCACGAAAGCGUGGGGAUCAAACAGGAUUAGAUACCCUGGUA